CAUUUCCGGGUCCUCCCCGUGUCCCCAGCUCAGCGAGGAGCUCCUCUGUCCGCCCCAGUUUACCCUCCGGAAGGGGUGAGAAUCACUGGGAUGGGAAAAGCAGAAUUAGAUCUCCCCGCAAAGCGUUGAUUUGAGUUGGCAGGAGUCAUUCCAAAUGUUUCCUGCAGGGAGGACGGCAAGGCAGCCCGGCGGCCCCCGUGGAGCCAGGAGGACGGCAGCCAAGGAUGCAGGCAUGCAGAUGGGAAGGAUGUCCGUGGUGCCUGCCCGAGAGUGGCGGCAGCUUUGAGGUCCCACGGGUUAACUCCGGGGAGAAAACGAAAAUGACUUACACAGCCCAUGGUGAGACAGAUGACCGGAGCCUUCCAAAGAGGCCACCAAGAGGCCUGCCACAGGACAGAAGAAGCUGAUAAGGUGGCUCGGCCAGAAAAAGCGCUUGCCGGGAAGCCUGGUGACCUGAGUUCAUUCGGGACCCACACUGCCGAAUGUGAGAACUGACUCCUACAAGGCGACCUCUGACCUCCACACACGUGCUGGGCCGUGCACGCCCCCGCCUCCUCGACAGAUACAUGAAGAAA